UUAGAAUUAUUCUAAUUCUAGACAAGGAACUCAAUUCGAUUGCAAAGAUGAAAUUCGUGAUGAUCCUCUUCUUCGUUUGCAUCGCAAUUUUGAAUAUUGCCAAAGCACAGCAAGCUACACAAACUUCUGGAAGUGGAAAACAGCCUGAUCCUAUGAAGCUAAUUUCUGGGUUUACUAGCCAGGUA